rnacentral:rRNA from 1 species
GACGAACGCUGGCGGCGUGCCUAAUACAUGCAAGUUGAACGCUAAAGCUUUGACUGGUGCUUGCACCGACCUAAGUUUUUAGAGUAGCGGACGGGUGAGUAACACGUGGGUAACCUGCCCAUCAGAGGGGGAUAACACUUGGAAACAGGUGCUAAUACCGCAUAAUUCCUUUUACCGCAUGGUAAAAGGCUGAAAGGCGCUUCUGGUGUCACUGAUGGAUGGACCCGCGGUGCAUUAGCUAGUCGGUGGGGUAACGGCCUACCGAGGCGAUGAUGCAUAGCCGACCUGAGAGGGUGAUCGGCCACAUUGGGACUGAGACACGGCCCAAACUCCUACGGGAGGCAGCAGUAGGGAAUUUUCGGCAAUGGACGAAAGUCUGACCGAGCAACGCCGCGUGAAGGAAGAAGGAAUUCGUUUUGUAAACUUCUGUUAUAAAGGAAGAACGACUAUACUAGGAAAUGAGUAUAGAGUGACGGUACUUUAUGAGAAAGCCACGGCUAACUACGUGCCAGCCGCCGCAGUAAAAC